rnacentral:rRNA from 1 species
GGAGUCUGGUCCGUGUCUCAGUACCAGUGUGGGGGACCUUCCUCUCAGAACCCCUACUGAUCGCAGGCUCGGUGGGCCGUUACCCCGCCGACAACCUAAUCAGACGCAUCCCCAUCCCAUAGCGAUGAAUCUUUGCUUGACGUUAGAUGUCUGCUGUCAAGAACAUAGGGAAUUAAUCCGACUUUCGCCGGGCUGUGCCCUACUACGGGGAAGGUUGGAUACGCGUUACUCACCCGUGCGCCGGUCGCCAUCACAGAUAGCAAGCUACCUGCAUGCUGCCCCUCGACUUGCAUGUGUUAAGCCUGUAGCUAGCGUUCAUC